ensembl:lincRNA
CACAGUCAUACGUUAUUCAGUGCUUGCAAAGUUACACAUUUUCAGUUAUGCUAAAGUGUUUUCCAAAGGAUACCUUUUUUCCUGUUUCCUCUUCGCAUCCAUUACCUACAGAAUCUAGAAACUUCCAAAAGUAUUUUCAUGUCAUAUAAGGAGAUUAUUUAUGUGAGAAAUCUCUAGUCCAAUUAGCCCCAAUCCCUUUAAAUUAGGCAGCAAUUUCUUUUGUUCUGUAUCACACAUGUGAUGGCAACCCACUGCAGUAUUCUUGCUUGGAAAAUCCCAUAGACUGAGGAAGCUGGCAGGCUGCAGUCCAUGGGGUCGCAAAGAAUCAGACACAGCUGAGGGACUGAACAUAUGAGCACAUGGUGUAAUAACAGAUGCCUCAUUUGUGUAACUCGAUGUAUUCCUUAUUUUGGUUUCAAUUAUACUUUUCUGGCUAAACUGUAAAAAGUCAUGAUCUUUCCACUUCUGUUUCUCAUGUUUCCUAGUGACCCUGCUCCUCCAACCCUCUUUGUGAGAGAUGAAAGUCAAAAUGCAUACAUGUCGAAUACAACAGUGUUCCAGUUUGUUUGAAUUCUUAAGUGAAAACAUUCACUCUAGAGUUCACCAUAAAGUGAAGUAAAAUCCUGAAAUAAGCUUUGGCAAUAGAAUCAUCAGGAAAUUCCUAUGGAAAAAAGUUGAAUAUCUGUGCCUGUGGAUGGGACAUAAACCUUCUCAGAGAGGCUGAAGCAAGAUUCCUGGAAUAAAAUAAGUGUAUAUUCUUGUAGGAGUUGGCACUUUCUACUUUACUCUGGAGAAGAUAAUCAGCUCCAACAAGAUCUGCUAUUUCCCAAAGUCAAACAGGAAUGGAGUGAUCGAUACGAUGAGAAAAUGCAAGUUUUACUGCUUCAUUUCUUUUGCCUUCCUCCAGGAAAUUUGUGUUUGGAUGGGAUAGUCUUCAGAUUUCUCAAGGUCUGCCUGGAAACAGCUUGACAGACAGAUAAGGCUGGCACAGAGAGAUCAGAAAUGAGAGAGCCAUUUCCAAGCAAAGACCUAGAUGAGCCUCAGAGAAGCAGCCAUGGACAAACUGUAGAAGUGUUUGGAGCUAAAAAACAAUGCAUUUAUUUUUAGCGGGGAAAGAAACAGUCUUUCACAAAGCUCUGUACCAUAAGCCUUUGAGUAAAUGGUAAUUGUUUAUGUACUUGCCAACAGAUUCUUUAAGCCUAAAUCCUAAAAUUGUUUUUAAACAUCAACAAUGUACCUAGGGUAGAGGGAAUGUUGAUGGAGGGAAGUGGGACACACAAAAACUUAAAAGUACUAAUAAUGUCAUAUUUCUUAUAUGGUACUGUUGGGUUUUUUUGAACAACUUACAUAAGCACAUAGUGAGGCUCCCCUGGUAGCUCAGUUGAUAAAGAAUCACCUGCAGUGCAGGAGACCUGGGUUUGAUCCCUGAGUUGGGAAGAUCCCCUGAAGGAGGGUGUGGCAACCCACUCUAGUAUUCUUGCCUGGAGAAUUCCCAAGGACAGAGGAGCCUGGCAGGCUGCAGUCCAUGGGGUCACAAAGGGUCAGACACAACUGAACAACAAGCACAGCCCAUGCACAUGGCAUGCUCACUUU